rnacentral:rRNA from 1 species
AGAGUUUGAUCAUGGCUCAGAUUGAACGCUGGCGGCAGGCCUAACACAUGCAAGUCGAACGGUAACAGGAAGCAGCUUGCUGCUUCGCUGACGAGUGGCGGACGGGUGAGUAAUGUCUGGGAAACUGCCUGAUGGAGGGGGAUAACUACUGGAAACGGUAGCUAAUACCGCAUAAUGUCGCAAGACCAAAGAGGGGGACCUUCGGGCCUCUUGCCAUCGGAUGUGCCCAGAUGGGAUUAGCUUGUUGGUGGGGUAACGGCUCACCAAGGCGACGAUCCCUAGCUGGUCUGAGAGGAUGACCAGCCACACUGGAACUGAGACACGGUCCAGACUCCUACGGGAGGCAGCAGUGGGGAAUAUUGCACAAUGGGCGCAAGCCUGAUGCAGCCAUGCCGCGUGUAUGAAGAAGGCCUUCGGGUUGUAAAGUACUUUCAGCGGGGAGGAAGGGAGUAAAGUUAAUACCUUUGCUCAUUGACGUUAUCCGCAGAAGAAGCACCGGCUAACUCCGUGCCAGCAGCCGCGGUAAUACGGAGGGUGCAAGCGUUAAUCGGAAUUACUGGGCGUAAAGCGCACGCAGGCGGUUUGUUAAGUCAGAUGUGAAAUCCCCGGGCUCAACCUGGGAACUGCAUCUGAUACUGGCAAGCUUGAGUCUCGUAGAGGGGGGUAGAAUUCCAGGUGUAGCGGUGAAAUGCGUAGAGAUCUGGAGGAAUACCGGUGGCGAAGGCGGCCCCCUGGACGAAGACUGACGCUCAGGUGCGAAAGCGUGGGGAGCAAACAGGAUUAGAUACCCUGGUAGUCCACGCCGUAAACGAUGUCGACUUGGAGGUUGUGCCCUUGAGGCGUGGCUUCCGGAGCUAACGCGUUAAGUCGACCGCCUGGGGAGUACGGCCGCAAGGUUAAAACUCAAAUGAAUUGACGGGGGCCCGCACAAGCGGUGGAGCAUGUGGUUUAAUUCGAUGCAACGCGAAGAACCUUACCUGGUCUUGACAUCCACGGAAGUUUUCAGAGAUGAGAAUGUGCCUUCGGGAACCGUGAGACAGGUGCUGCAUGGCUGUCGUCAGCUCGUGUUGUGAAAUGUUGGGUUAAGUCCCGCAACGAGCGCAACCCUUAUCCUUUGUUGCCAGCGGUCCGGCCGGGAACUCAAAGGAGACUGCCAGUGAUAAACUGGAGGAAGGUGGGGACGACGUCAAGUCAUCAUGGCCCUUACGACCAGGGCUACACACGUGCUACAAUGGCGCAUACAAAGAGAAGCGACCUCGCGAGAGCAAGCGGACCUCAUAAAGUGCGUCGUAGUCCGGAUUGGAGUCUGCAACUCGACUCCAUGAAGUCGGAAUCGCUAGUAAUCGUGGAUCAGAAUGCCACGGUGAAUACGUUCCCGGGCCUUGUACACACCGCCCGUCACACCAUGGGAGUGGGUUGCAAAAGAAGUAGGUAGCUUAACCUUUGGGAGGGCGCUUACCACUUUGUGAUUCAUGACUGGGGUGAAGUCGUAACAAGGUAACCGUAGGGGAACCUGCGGUUG